rnacentral:tRNA from 1 species
GCUAGAUUCGCUCAGAGCAAAUUAGGACACGACUCAAAACAAUUUCCCUCUUUAAAUAUGUAAGAGGUGGUAUUCAGUGGAGGUAAGCGGACUCGAACCGCUGACAUCCUGCUUGCAAAGCAGGCGCUCUACCAACUGAGCUAUACCCCCAACAUAGAGAUAUGGGCCAUCCUGGACUUGAACCAGGGACCUCACCCUUAUCAGGGGUGCGCUCUAACCACCUGAGCUAAUGGCCCAGGAAAAAGUGAUGGGUGUGACCUAGAAAAAACUUAGAAACUGAAAUUCUUAAAAAAUAAGAAUCUGAGAUACCG